rnacentral:rRNA from 1 species
UACGUAGGGUGCAAGCGUUAAUCGGAAUUACUGGGCGUAAAGCGUGCGCAGGCGGUUUUGUAAGUUUGUCGUGAAAUCCCCGGGCUCAACCUGGGAAUGGCGAUGAAGACUGCAAGGCUAGAAUCUGGCAGAGGGGGGGUAGAAUUCCACGUGUAGCAGUGAAAUGCGUAGAGAUGUGGAGGAACACCGAUGGCGAAGGGCAGCCCCCUGGGUCAAGAUUGACGCUCAUGCA